CCUGGGUGUCCAGGUACUCAGAAAGGAACAGGUCCCAUGUAUGGAUGAGGUAGGAUUUAAUGGGGCAGCCUGAAAGCCCCUGGCCUACUGCCGUGCUUGACACCCGGUCCACAGGAAAGCCAGUUCUGUCCUUCAGCCUAGUACAGUCGUCAAAUACCCCAUCCCUGUUCCCUGGGAAGGCCCUUACAGAUCAGCUCGCUGAAGUCCAAGAAGAAUAAGAUCAAAUUCCCCCCAGACAUUCUGGAACUUCCUCAACCAGCAUCAACCCCUCUUCUAGUAAUAGGUUUGUCUUGGCUGUUCUCCAUACCUGCAGCUCAGCCUAUCCACCCCCACCACUUUCCUAGCAAAGAAAAUUCCUUCCUCACAAAACCUGCACCUCCACGUGGCAUACCCUCUCUCUUCAUUGUCUGUUCACAUUCCACCUUCAUGUUUAAGUUCCCGCUCCAGGGACUUCACCCCAUGGAUGACACCCGCUGUCUAGACUCCAAGGCACCUGCAGCCCCUCCAGCUACGACGAUCCUGCUUCCAUGUGUGUUCCUCCUGCCUCCCCAGGAAGGUUGAUGCCUCCCACAAAGCCCAUGUUCUGCUGACAACUUUCUUGUGCCCUCAGGUCUACAGCCAGAAGUGUAGGAGUAUUUCAGAGGAAUGGAUGAUACAUUUGAGGGUAUCCCUGCUCUGGCCAAUUUCGCCUCUGGCCAACCCCACCAGGGUUGUGUGUUAGGGUAGCAGUCCUGAUGAAGGAAGAAUCUUCACUACUAGUCAAGAUGGUUUCUAAACCCUAUUGAGGUCAACAAAAGCAAAAUGCUGCUGAGUUAGGUAUUAAAAAAGAUUGAAGACAUGAAAGAAAGAAUAACUGAAUGUUACUGAUGCCAGAAGCAACUCUCGCUGGGCGCAACUCUCGCUGGGCGCAACUCUCGCUGGGCCUCAGUUUCUCAUGAGCAGAACUGCAGGGGGACAAGAGCGAAGCCACCAGGGGAGCUCUCUCCCAAAGGCCUUGUCGCCCCAGACCUAACUCGCUCCCCCUCAACCUGCCUGAGGAAGAAACUCUCAGGAUUGCACGGAUAUUUUCUUCUCAGUACUCCCAGAAAGACUGACGCAGCCUGAGGGGCUGGGGGGAAGGAGACACCUGCCCACCCUCCGUCAGCUUUGUCCAGCUUGCAGGAGGCACCAGGUCUGGCUCCUUCAGGGCUGUCACAGUCCUGAAACCACCACUUGCCUAGGCCACGGAUGCCUCAAGAGACCCGGUCAGCCCAGACUGGAGGAGUGCCCCAAACCAGUCCAGUGUCCACUUGCCAGAAUUUCAGCUCCUUUUUUCUGUGGUGAGGCAAAGGCUAGAAAUAAAAUGGAAUCCGCGCCCAAGUGGGACCCAAGCAGGCAUCUUUCGGUGGAGAAACGCCCCCCAGUGUCCUUGACACAGCUGACUGCUGGCAUGAGCCCACCCUCUGCCUGAAGAUGCAGGACCAUUUUUGCCUUAAAAGUUGGGGAGGAGGGACAUGUAGAUUGUGUGCAUUGUGCAUAGUCAAGGAAAUCCUAGGGCCACCUCCAGUUCAUUUGUGUGGGAACAAGGAUAUUUUAUAGAUACAAAUUAUUUUUAUGCUGUGUUGAAUUAAUCAAUUAGGAGAGGAAGGGGAAAUCACUUCCUUCAAACUUUUUAUCUGAUUGUCUAAAAUUCUAACCAUGCUUUUAACUUAUUAUUUUUACCCAGCUCUGAAGGUCAUUGUUCUUGCCUGUGUUUGAAUAAAAUCA
rnacentral:lncRNA from 1 species